GAUGAACGCUGGCGGCGUGCCUAAUACAUGCAAGUCGAGCGAACAGACGAGGAGCUUGCUCCUCUGACGUUAGCGGCGGACGGGUGAGUAACACGUGGAUAACCUACCUAUAAGACUGGGAUAACUUCGGGAAACCGGAUCUAAUACCGGAUAAUAUAUUGAACCGCAUGGUUCAAUAGUGAAAGACGGUUUUGCUGUCACUUAUAGAUGGAUCCGCGCCGCAUUAGCUAGUUGGUAAGGUAACGGCUUACCAAGGCAACGAUGCGUAGCCGACCUGAGAGGGUGAUCGGCCACACUGGAACUGAGACACGGUCCAGACUCCUACGGGAGGCAGCAGUAGGGAAUCUUACGCAAUGGGCGAAAGCCUGACGCAGCAACGCCGCGUGAGUGAUGAAGGUCUUCGGAUCGUAAAACUCUGUUAUUAGGGAAGAACAAAUGUGUAAGUAACUAUGCCCGUCUUGACGGUACCUAAUCAGAAAGCCACGGCUAACUACGUG
rnacentral:rRNA from 1 species